rnacentral:rRNA from 1 species
CAAUAUGAAGGCCAGGCUGAAGACUUUGCCGGAUUAGCUGAGAGGUGGUGCAUGGCCGUCGUCAGUUCGUACUGUGAAGCAUCCUGUUAAGUCAGGCAACGAGCGAGACCCACGCCCACAGUUGCCAGCGUACUCUCUGGAGUGACGGGUACACUGUGGGACCGCCGCUGCUAAAGCGGAGGAAGGAAUGGGCAACGGUAGGUCAGUAUGCCCCGAAUAUCCCGGGCUACACGCGAGCUACAAUGGUUGGUACAAUGGGUAUCUACCCCGAAAGGGGGCGGGAAUCUCCUAAAACCAAUCUUAGUUCGGAUUGAGGGCUGCAACUCGCCCUCAUGAAGCUGGAAUCCGUAGUAAUCGCGUUUCAACAGAACGCGGUGAAUACGUCCCUGCUCCUU